rnacentral:rRNA from 1 species
GACGAACGCUGGCGGCGUGCUUAACACAUGCAAGUCGAACGGAAAGGCCCUGCUUUUGUUGGGGGCUCGAGUGGCGAACGGGUGAGUAACACGUGAGUAACCUGCCCUUGGCUUUGGGAUAACUUCAGGAAACUGGGGCUAAUACCGGAUAGGAGCUCCUGCUGCAUGGUGGGGGUUGGAAAGUUUCGGCGGUUGGGGAUGGACGCGCGGGUUAUCAGCCUGUUGGUGGGGUAGUGGCUUACCAAGGCUUUGACGGGUAGCCGGCCUGAGAGGGUGACCGGCCACAUUGGGACUGAGAUACGGCCCAGACUCCUACGGGAGGCAGCAGUGGGGAAUAUUGCACAAUGGGCGGAAGCCUGAUGCAGCAACGCCGCGUGCGGGAUGACGGCCUUCGGGUUGUAAACCGCUUUCGCCUGUGACGAAGCGUGAGUGACGGUAAUGGGUAAAGAAGCACCGGCUAACUACGUG